rnacentral:rRNA from 1 species
CUUAAUUUGACUCAACACGGGGAAGCUUACGAGGUCAGGACACUGUGAGGAUUGACAGAUUGAAAGCUCUUUCUUGAUUCAGUGGGUGGUGGUGCAUGGCCGUUCUUAGUUGGUGGAGUGAUUUGUCUGGUUAAUUCCGUUAACGAACGAGACCUUAACCUGCUAAAUAGUCACGCGAACCGGUCCGCAAGGGCUCAAAGUUAGCGGCUCGACUUCUUAGAGGGACUAUUCGCACCCGCCAGCGAAUGGAAGUUUGAGGCAAUAACAGGUCUGUGAUGCCCUUAGAUGUUCUCGGCCGCACGCGCGUUACACUGACGGAGUCAACGAGCGUUUUUCCUUGCCCGACAGGGCUGGGUAACCUCCUGAAACUCCGUCGUGAUGGGGAUAGAUCAUUGCAAUUAUUGAUCUUGAACGAGGAAUUCCUAGUAAGCGCGAGUCAUCAACUCGCGCUGAUUACGUCCCUGCCCUUUGUACACACCGCCCGUCGCUCCUACCGAUUGAACGGUCCGGCGAGAACUCCGGAUGGUCGGCACGCAGGGGUCAAACCCUGUGUCCGUGCCAGAAGCUGUUCGAACCUUACCGUUUAGAGGAAGGAGAAGUCGUAACAAGGUAUC